rnacentral:rRNA from 1 species
GAUGAACGCUGGCGGCGUGCCUAAUACAUGCAAGUCGAGCGAACGGACGAGAAGCUUGCUUCUCUGAUGUUAGCGGCGGACGGGUGAGUAACACGUGGAUAACCUACCUAUAAGACUGGGAUAACUUCGGGAAACCGUAGCUAAUACCGGAUAAUAUUUUGAACCGCAUGGUUCAAAAGUGAAAGACGGUCUUGCUGUCACUUAUAGAUGGAUCCGCGCUGCAUUAGCUAGUUGGUAAGGUAACGGCUUACCAAGGCAACGAUGCAUAGCCGACCUGAGAGGGUGAUCGGCCACACUGGAACUGAGACGCGGUCCAGACUCCUACGGGAGGCAGCAGUAGGGAAUCUUCCGCAAUGGGCGAAAGCCUGACGGAGCAACGCCGCGUGAGUGAUGAAGGUCUUCGGAUCGUAAGACUCUGUUAUUAGUGAAGAACAUAUGUGUAAGUAACUGUGCACAUCUUGACGGUACCUAAUCAGAAAGCCACGGCUAACUACGUG